GACGAACGCUGGCGGCGUGCCUAAUACAUGCAAGUAGAACGCUGAAGAGAGGAGCUUACUCUUCUUGGAUGAGUUGCGAACGGGUGAGUAACGCGUAGGUAACCUGCCUUGUAGCGGGGGAUAACUAUUGGAAACGAUAGCUAAUACCGCAUAACAAUGGAUGACACAUGUCAUUUAUUUGAAAGGGGCAAUUGCUCCACUACAAGAUGGACCUGCGUUGUAUUAGCUAGUAGGUGAGGUAAUGGCUCACCUAGGCGACGAUACAUAGCCGACCUGAGAGGGUGAUCGGCCACACUGGGACUGAGACACGGCCCAGACUCCUACGGGAGGCAGCAGUAGGGAAUCUUCGGCAAGGGGGGCAACCCUGACCGAGCAACGCCGCGUGAGUGAAGAAGGGUUUCGGAUCGUAAAGCUCUGUUGUAAGUCAAGAACGGGUGUGAGAGUGGAAAGUUCACACUGUGACGGUAGCUUACCAGAAAGGGACGGCUAACUACGUG
rnacentral:rRNA from 1 species